rnacentral:rRNA from 2 species
CGUAACAAGGUCUCCGUUGGUGAACCAGCGGAGGGAUCAUUACUGAGUUUACGCUCUAUAACCCUUUGUGAACAUACCUAUAACUGUUGCUUCGGCGGGUAGGGUCCCCGUGACCCUCCCGGCCUCCCGCCCCCCGGGCGGGUCGGCGCCCGCCGGAGGAUAACCAAACUCUGAUUUAACGACGUUUCUUCUGAGUGGUACAAGCAAAUAAUCAAAACUUUUAACAACGGAUCUCUUGGUUCUGGCAUCGAUGAAGAACGCAGCGAAAUGCGAUAAGUAAUGUGAAUUGCAGAAUUCAGUGAAUCAUCGAAUCUUUGAACGCACAUUGCGCCCGCCAGCAUUCUGGCGGGCAUGCCUGUUCGAGCGUCAUUUCAACCCUCAAGCUCUGCUUGGUGUUGGGGCCCUACAGCUGAUGUAGGCCCUCAAAGGUAGUGGCGGACCCUCCCGGAGCCUCCUUUGCGUAGUAACUUUACGUCUCGCACUGGGAUCCGGAGGGACUCUUGCCGUAAAACCCCCAAUUUUCCAAAGGUUGACCUCGGAUCAGGUAGGAAUACCCCGCUGAACUUAAGCAUAUCAAUA